AUGAGAAAAAGUUCAGAAAUUUCCAUGAAAGCUUCGUCGUCGAUGGCAAGCGACGCGUCAGGGAACACUGAACCUGGCCAACAGGGCGUUCGUUUCAGUUCCAUGGACCAGUCUUGCUUUGCAAGACCUGGCCAGUCAAUCCCUGGCUACCCCCCAUUCUUUGGCCCUCAAUCUUCCAACUUUUACCUUCCUGAUGACAGUGUGGCUAAAGCGUGUGAUCCGUUUGAACCGAAUCCUCCACAGAGCAAUCCUGUGGCAGACUGGGAUCCUCAGGCCAUGCUGAGCAACCUAACCUUCCUUGAGCAGAAGAUCAAGCAGGUGAAAGAUAUCGUGCAGUCCAUGGGUAACCGAGGGAGCCAAGAUGUUGGUGGUUCCUGCGAGCUUGCCGCAAAGCAGCAGCUCGUCACCGCUGAUCUCACUUCCAUCAUAAUUCAGCUCAUCUCGACUGCCGGCUCCAUGCUUCCUUCCAUGAAGACCCCGCUCCUUAGCAGCAAUCCAGCGGUCAGGCAACUCAACACGCCUGGUUCUCCCAUGGGCUUUGGCUCGAUUGUGAAUCAGCGGCCAAGCACAGUCAGGGAGGAGAUGGUUCCUGACAUUAGCAAGACCUCUGAUUAUGAGGAGCUGAUGAAUACCCUUAACACAGCGCAUGAUGAAAAGGAUGAUCUGAUCAACUGCCCAAAUCCUUGUGUCGGGGAAGGGCCUGAGCCGGUUCCGAUGGAAGACCAUGACGUGAAGGAGAGCGAUGAUGGUGGUGAGGCAGAGCACCUCCCCCCUGGUUCUUAUGUGGUCUUGCAGUUGGAGAAGGAGGAAAUUUUAGCACCACAUACUCAUUUCUGUGUGAUAUGUGGGAAGGGUUUCAAGAGGGAUGCUAACCUAAGGAUGCACAUGAGGGGCCAUGGAGACGAGUACAAGACUCCCGCAGCUCUUGCCAAACCCAUGAGAGAUUCUGGCUCAGAUCCUACACCAGUUACAAGGUACUCGUGCCCAUAUGUCGGUUGCAAGCGGAACAAAGAGCACAGGAAGUUCCAGCCCCUCAAGACAAUCUUGUGUGUGAAGAACCACUACAAGAGAAGCCACUGUGACAAGAGGUAUACCUGCAGCCGAUGCAAUACCAAGAAGUUCUCAGUCAUUGCGGACUUGAAGACUCAUGAGAAGCACUGCGGGCGUGACAAGUGGCUCUGCUCAUGUGGAACAACUUUCUCAAGAAAGGACAAGCUGUUCGGCCAUGUCGCGCUUUUCCAAGGGCACACACCUGCUCUAGCAAUGGAUGAUAUUAAAGCAACAGGAGCAUCGGAGCAGCCUCAGGGGAGCGAGGCGAUGGACGACAUGGUGGGGAGCACAGGGUAUAACUUCCCAGGCAGCACGUCUGAUGGUAUUCCGAAUCUAGACAUGAAAGUUGCCGAUGACACACGUGGUUAUUUCUCGCCCUUGAACUUCGACCCGUGCUUCGGCGCCCUCGAUGACUUCGCCCCCCCUGGAUUCGACAUCUCCGAGAACCCCUUCUCCUUCCUGCCUUCGGGACCGGGUUCCUGCAGCUUUGGGCAGCUUAGUGGAGACAGCUGA
rnacentral:rRNA from 1 species